rnacentral:rRNA from 1 species
AUGUCCGGGCGCGGCAAGGGAGGCAAGGGGCUCGGCAAGGGCGGCGCCAAGCGCCACCGGAAGGUGCUGCGCGACAACAUCCAGGGCAUCACCAAGCCGGCCAUCAGGCGCCUGGCUCGCCGGGGCGGCGUGAAGCGCAUCUCGGGGCUCAUCUACGAGGAGACCCGCGGCGUGCUCAAGAUCUUCCUCGAGAACGUCAUCCGCGACGCCGUCACCUACACCGAGCACGCCCGCCGCAAGACCGUCACCGCCAUGGACGUCGUCUACGCCCUCAAGCGCCAGGGCCGCACCCUCUACGGCUUCGGCGGCUAG